UGCAUCGCCCAUAUUUCCAAUGGCUGUAAUCCCAGCUGUAUAUGUCCUGGCAUAUACAAUGCCAGUAUUGUUCCUGGACCAGGAAACAUUCAUCUGGAGGAAUUAUAUACCUGGUUCCUUAGGAAGAACACAAAGUCUGGAAUUAGGAAGCUACGAAACUAAUGAACAUGCUGCUGGGAGAAAGAGCUCUUCCACCCUCCUUUCCUCUGGAAAGAGAAUCUCUGACUGCACAAGGACCUCCUCCGUGAAAUCAUCGCAGGUGCCAUUCUACAAUGACUCUGCCUUUUUAUCUCCUCCAUCUGCCACAGGGCUGCACUUCUUGGUGGUUUCCUUCAAUACCACUUUUGUGGCCACCCACCAGAUCUGAAACUGUCCUGCCCCAGCAGAAGAGCUGCCCAAUCCCUCUCCAGGCUCUGGGUCCCCUUUCUUCCUCCUCUUGGAUGUGGGGAGUCCUGGGGGGGAACACUGUGGUUUAGUAUCCCGAAAUAUCCUCACACACCAGGUCACGCCUUGUUGUCUAUCCCCUUCUGCUUGGAUGCCAGAUACAUAGAGGACCUGAGGAAAGCCACACAGCUAUUUAUCUCCCCAAGGACCAGGACCAGAGGCAGAGUAGGCAGGGAAGGGAUGGAAGAGGGAGUGGCAUUUAGGUUUUUGCAGGAGCUCUGUCUUGUGGUGAGAGCAGAACAUCCAGCUUUGCAGGAACCUUGAUCCAGGAGCAUCUCCCCUGGAGUUGUGGUUAGAGUAGCCUCGGGGCAGAGGACUUAGAAUGUUUUGGAAUUCUGGAGAAAGGACCUUGCUGGCCCUCCAAGCCUUUCAUUGCCCCAAAGCCUCUAUGAGAAAUGCUCCCCGUGUGUCUGAAUCCCUGUAGACAGGCGACCAUCUCUCUUUAACUGACAGUAGUUACCGAGCUGGGCCCCAAUCCCUCAGACAGGUUUGAGAACUUUCAGCCUUCCUCUUGCACCUUUUCCAGAUCUAGGUAAGCUUCCAGCAGAAGACACCUCACCAGCAGCCAGGUUCUCACUCCCAACAAAUAAAACCAUACAGCUCUCUCCA
rnacentral:lncRNA from 12 species